GACGAACGCUGGCGGCGUGCCUAAUACAUGCAAGUAGAACGCUGAAGGAGGAGCUUGCUUCUCUGGAUGAGUUGCGAACGGGUGAGUAACGCGUAGGUAACCUGCCUGGUAGCGGGGGAUAACUAUUGGAAACGAUAGCUAAUACCGCAUAAUAGUAGAUGUUGCAUGACAUUUGCUUAAAGGUGCAAUUGCAUCACUACCAGAUGGACCUGCGUUGUAUUAGCUAGUUGGUGGGGUAACGGCUCACCAAGGCGACGAUACAUAGCCGACCUGAGAGGGUGAUCGGCCACACUGGGACUGAGACACGGCCCAGACUCCUACGGGAGGCAGCAGUAGGGAAUCUUCGGCAAUGGACGGAAGUCUGACCGAGCAACGCCGCGUGAGUGAAGAAGGUUUUCGGAUCGUAAAGCUCGGUUGUAAGAGAAGAACGAGUGUGAGAGUGGAAAGUUCACACUGUGACGGUAUCUUACCAGAAAGAGACGGCUAACUACGUG
rnacentral:rRNA from 1 species